GACGAACGCUGGCGGCAUGCCUAACACAUGCAAGUCGAACGGAGAUUAUUUCGGUAAUCUUAGUGGCGAACGGGUGAGUAACGCGUGGGCAACCUGCCCUCUAGAUGGGGACAACAUCCCGAAAGGGGUGCUAAUACCGAAUGUGACAGCAAUCUCGCAUGAGGAUGCUGUGAAAGAUGGCCUCUAUUUAUAAGCUAUCGCUAGAGGAUGGGCCUGCGUCUGAUUAGCUAGUUGGUGGGGUAACGGCCUACCAAGGCGAUGAUCAGUAGCCGGUCUGAGAGGAUGAACGGCCACAUUGGGACUGAGACACGGCCCAGACUCCUACGGGAGGCAGCAGUGGGGAAUCUUCCGCAAUGGGCGAAAGCCUGACGGAGCAAUGCCGCGUGAGUGAUGAAGGAAUUCGUUCCGUAAAGCUCUUUUGUUUAUGACGAAUGUGCAGAUUGUGAACAAUGAUCUGUAAUGACGGUAGUAAAUAAAUAAGCCACGGCUAACUACGUG
rnacentral:rRNA from 1 species